GAUCAUUGGUCAGCUAUUUCAUCCUCAGAAGCAAGAGUUGAUAACUAUUCAGAGAGAACAAUUGCUUCAUCAAUUACAUCUGAAGGAAAUGAAGAGUACUUUGAAGACAGCGUUCCACCACCAGAUGAACCACCACGGGCAAGUACCAGUGAAAGUAGAUUUCGAAAUGCACAGCAGAUUAAAUGUAAGGAAUCACAGUCAUACCGAACUAAAACGAGAGACAUCAGAAGCUGAAAGAGAAGAAGACUAUUUAGAUAUUAAUAAAGGAAGUGACUCUGGAAACACACUAGAAGCAGCUGGGUUGCAGGAGGAAGUGAGUGGGGAUCAGGAAGCUUCACCAGAAGCAGUCCUUGAGGAUCACUGGAACCUCAGAUCGGAUGAAGAUCCAGAGAAAGAGCUCAAAUCCAUGAAAGAAAUGCAACAACCUAUCACAUUUGCAAAAAUCAUGGCAGAGUCUAUUCACAUGGCCACAACAGGUCCAGUUCAUGUUGAAAAUAUGGAGAAAAGCCUGAUAGCACCCACAGAUUUAAGACGCACUGAAGAUGAUUCUGAGAUAUCUCCUCCCACAUCAGAAAAAUCACUGAUUGGAGACCCUUUAAACCAAACAAGAGAAAGUGAUGUACCAGAUGAUGGAAGUGAUACCAGGGAAACAGGUUACUGUUUUGCAGCAAUGAAGGCAGAACGACCCGAAGAUUUACCAGCAGUGUUCCCAAAGACUUUUAAUUACCACAUGCCUGUCUUAUCUCAUUCUAAAGUGAAGAAAACUAGAGUAAGAUUUUCACACAUAGAAUGUAGAGUGAACUCCAAGUCUGUACCUAUGAAGGCAUUGAAGCCGUCCAUUUCACAAAUGUGUGAUAUCACAGGUCAUCAAAGAAAGAAACUGGAAUCUGACUUUAAGGCCAAGUUUGAAAAGAUCGGCCAAGCUAAUGGACUGGAAUAUGAAUUUCUAAACACCCUUUACUGUCCUGUGCAUAGCAGGUUACAAGGGGAGACAAAGAGCUUCUGCCGUGUUCAAGCAAAGCUCCGGGGUCUAGCCGUUGAAGAAAGACCACUGUAUGUUGAUUUUUUUGAUGAGAGUAAUGCACUCUGUGACGGAGAAGAAAAAGGACAAGAUGUAGAGGAAAAGGAGCAAAAGACUUUGCUAAUAACGGCUCCACAGCAUACCCAGUACCUCUGGAUCAAUGGAUGUCGAGGAAAGGAGACUCACUUUGCCAAACCAGAUGCAGGCCUACACUGUUUAACACAGGAGCAAGAUAAACAGCACCAAACAUGCUUUAAAGAAGCUGCUUUGCAGACUGAUGUCCAGAUGGGUCCUCAAGAAGCUAAGGAACUCCUGAAGACCAACAAACCAGAAGAUGAUCUAACAGCCCCUGAGGGUCUGGAGGUUCUACCUCCCGAAGCAGGGAACUCAUCACCUGUGAAACUUUUGAACAUUCCAACAGAGAGUGGUGUAGCCUCUGGUGGAAACCUCACAAGGGAAC
ensembl:lncRNA